UUCCUCCAAAGGCCCAGUGGUGCUGUAGAUGGGUCCAGUCUUCCUCUGAGAAUCCAGUGGAGAAAGGCUGACUGCAGUGUUCUGAGGCUCAGAUUAUAUCCAGGUAGGAAUGCUUGGCUCCUCCCCUGGGCGGAGCAUUUCCCAAUGGGAUGAUGCAAUUUUAUCAGUCAUGCAGUGAGACUCAAUGGCUCAUUAACAGAAGAGAUCCCCCUGGAGGGAGGAUGGGUUGUGGAAGACAAAAAGAACACUGCCAUACCUGGUUUAACAGAUGGUAAGAGAAUUCAUACUUUUGGUUACAUCUUGCAUUGCAACACAAGACAGGUGGAAAUGCCAGCUCAGCUAGGAACCUUCUGCAAUGCGCUCCUUUAAGCAGACACACUGUUCAAAACCAGGAAUGGACAUGAGGUAAAUAACUACAAUUUAAAAGUCAAGUAGACGGUGGCACAAGAACAGGACACAGACUCAACAUUCCGCAAGCUGUGUAGCAAUGUCUGAAGCUCACCUCCCAGGUAUGAUACCUUAAAGACCUCAAAGUAUCUUUAAAAAUAUUUUCUAUUAUUCUCAAGAGUCCUGCAUAACAGGGGAGAAAGGAGAAGAGAGUAGACUCCAGUCAGUUCACGUAUCUGCUUGGACAAUUGUCAUGGGAGAUGGUUCUGGGGAAAAAACAGGUCCAAAAAAGAUGGUUCAUCUUAUCCAAGCUUGAGAACAGUCCACUUUCUUGUGCAGGAAAUGGAGCAAAGGAGACAGGAGGCCUACAUGGAUGAACAAGUAGCAUCUGACUACCCUCAAAUAGAAAUUUGUAGGAGGUGGAAGUAGGGUCAAGGAAAUAUAGAGAUAGGGUACAAGGAUGGAGGCAAGUCAAAACCCACCUGGAGUUAAAUCUGGAGAGAGUCACAAAGGAUAAUAAGGGAAGUUUCUACAGGAACAUCAUAAGCAAAAGAAAGCCUAAGGAAAAUGUGGGACAGAACAGAGUCCUGAGAAACCAGCCCUAGGUGACCCUGCUCUGAGUGGAGAGCUAGACUGAAUGUUCUCCAGAUGCACCUGCAACCAUCCUAUGACCGUGUGACAACCCCAGCAUACUCAUCUGGUACAUGGCUGUAAAACCCCUGAGCCAUGGCUGACUUCAAAGGACUUUGUGUCCUGUUCAUCAAGAAUCACUGACACUGGAGGAUUCCUGCUUGCUGUUUCUUUUCCUAAGGAAAUGUGAAGAAGUAACUACAAUUUUUGUCCUAAAUCAGAUAAAGACUUUUCUGUCCUUUGCAAAUGCCUAUGUAAUAAUAACUGAUUAACAAAAUACCACAAUUUGCACCUUUACUGUUGAGCAUAUUAGAGAACUUAGAGAAGAUUUCUGCCUUUGCAGAGAGAGAAUGCCCUUACCUAUUAAUACCAUUAUGGAGACAUUUAAUUUAAUGUGGAGUAAAUGGAGUGUUGCCAGAAUAAAUUAGAUGGACCUGA